GGGUGUAUAGCUUAGUGGUAGAGCGUGCACAAGGUCCUGGGCUCAAUCCCCGGUACUGCCA
rnacentral:tRNA from 1 species